AGAGUUUGAUUAUGGCUCAGGAUGAACGCUGGCGGUGCGCCUAAUACAUGCAAGUCGAGCGAGAAAUUGGAUUUAUUCAAUGGACAGCGGCGGACGAGCGAGUAACACGUAAGAACCUGCCCCGCACUCGGGGACAACUACUCGAAAGAGUAGCUAAUACCGGAUAGUCUCGAAAGAGUAAAGAUUUAUCGGUGCGGGAGGGGCUUGCGGCUUAUCAGUUAGUUGGUGGGGUAAAAGCCUACCAAGACUAUGACGAGUAGCUGGUGUGAGAGCAUGACCAGCCGCGAUGGGACUGAGACACGGCCCAUACUCCUACGGGAGGCAGCAGUAAGGAAUCUUCCGCAAUGGACGAAAGUCUGACGGAGCGACACCGCGUGAAGGAUGAAGGCCUAUGGGUUGUAAACUUCUUUUCUGUGGGAAGAAGAUCUGACGGUACCACAGGAAUAAGGUCCGGCUAAUUACGUGCCAGCAGCCGCGGUAAUACGUAAGGACCAAGCGUUAUCCGGAAUUAUUGGGUGUAAAGCGUCCGCAGGUGGCGCAGAAAGUCAGUUAUUAAAUACCGAAGCUCAACUUCGGUGCUGUAAUUGAAACUUCUGUGCUAGAGGAUGGGAGAGGUAUAUGGAAUUG
rnacentral:rRNA from 1 species